rnacentral:rRNA from 1 species
AACGAACGCUGGCGGCAUGCCUAACACAUGCAAGUCGAACGAGACCUUCGGGUCUAGUGGCGCACGGGUGCGUAACGCGUGGGAACCUGCCUUUAGGUUCGGAAUAACUCAGAGAAAUUUGAGCUAAUACCGGAUGAUGUCUUCGGACCAAAGAUUUAUUGCCUUUAGAUGGGCCCGCGUUGGAUUAGCUAGUUGGUGGGGUAAAGGCCUACCAAGGCGACGAUCCAUAGCUGGUCUGAGAGGAUGAUCAGCCACACUGGGACUGAGACACGGCCCAGACUCCUACGGGAGGCAGCAGUGGGGAAUAUUGGACAAUGGGCGAAAGCCUGAUCCAGCAAUGCCGCGUGAGUGAUGAAGGCCUUAGGGUUGUAAAGCUCUUUUACCCGAGAUGAUAAUGACAGUAUCGGGAGAAUAAGCUCCGGCUAACUCCGUG